UGUCACACAUCUGUGUUGGGCUGGAGGAGGGGUGAAUAAUGGAGUUCACGAGUGCAGUGGGGAGGGCUAGAAAACCUCCUUGGUUUACCAGACCUCUCUCUGGAAAGAUUUUGUGGUCUGGUGAUUGCAGAAACCUUUUUCCCCUCUUCUUGGCUCUACCACUGCUGUUCUUUUUACUCUCAUGGUCUUGCUGGGCUGCAGCUUACUGCUUCAUUUUUUGAUCUCAAUACUGGAUGGGUUUUCCUUCAGUCCCCAAGCUUUCUGUGUUAGUGAGCUCUGUUAUCUUGGCAGUAUAUAUUUUUUUGAGCAUGAUUGCUGAGCAGCACAUAUCUCUUUUUUUUGAAAUCUUUGUUGAACUAUCUCUUCUUUAACUUGUUGCUGGGGCUACCUCUUCUUAAUGAGCCUUCUGCCUUGGGGCAGGCUCUGAGAAAUCCUGCUGCACUACACCAACUGUCUUGUCACCAGUUCAGACUGGGGAGGUUCACUUGAUAUUCAGGCGGAGUGAAGAAGAGACAUAGAAUCAUAAGAUUGUCUAAACAUGCCUUCAUUUUCAGUUGCUCAGCUCAGCCACGUGCACUUUUGUGUCAGUCCUCAGGCCCCUAGCAUGCUCAUUCUCGAAGCAGUCCUCAGCUACUUAGUCUCCCCCAACAGCCCUUAUGGCAGUCCACAUUUAUCCCAAAGUACACAGUAGCAUAAUGACAUUGGUUCUGUAAGUUAUUUACACCGGCCAGCAUCAACAUUGACUACAGAAGUUAUUCACAUUGGAACAUCGAGAGAUGUACCUGCACUGGAGCUCUGUUGACACAGAACUCCCCCAGCCCAGAUCCCUUCCCUUCACAGCCUGAACCAAAGUACUGCCAUCUUGUGCUUCCAGGUCUCCCUACACACAGCGUUUUACACCUUCAUUCUUUUUCACAGAACACAGUACAGGUGUAGUGACUAAGUAAAGUCACUCCUUGGGGAAGUGAACAAAGAUGUUCAGAGUAGAAACAGUGCACAGACCAAACAGAUACCUUGGAGGCAGGAAGAUGCUCCAAGUCAGGUGGGCAUGAGGAUUCAAAGCCCGUUGCAUGGGAGCCCUUUUCCCUGGCAAAGGAGGUGCAACCAAAUGCUGAUCAGCCCCUCAGAGAAGACAGGGACAUGUGUGUGUGUGUGUGCAUAUACAAGCAAGUAGGCAUCCCGGAGGCUAUGUGACCUAUUAGUAUUUCCUGUUCGUUUUUCAUUCUGUUCUCAUUUUUGAGAACAGGGAAUAUGACUAGAAAAAUAAUUUAACGUUACUUCAUGGAGAGUUGGACGUGAAGCCCUGCUCCGCACCUGUGGGAGGUUUGUGGGAUGGUCCAUCAUGGAGGACACAGCCCCUGUCUUGACCAUUUCAGAGUGAUUUCCCUGCACCCUUACAGGAAGCAGAGAGAAUUGGCUAGAAUUCAACAAGCAAGAGUGUUCAUCUGGCACACCUGGUUUCCUAGAUAUUUCUCUGAUGUUAUGAGCCUGGUGUGUUGGGAGAGCUCUCCAGACCAAAGGAGGAGCUCCCAGAGGGAAGGGCACCAACUGUUCUGGCUUGCCUUUAGAUAUCCUGCCGAAGCUUCAUGUGAUCAUAGGUGGGGCUUUUCAGAGGUAGCUGGAUCUAGGAUGUAUGAUGCUGGGAUUAAAUGUGUGAUGCUGGGAUUAAGAAUGUGUGGUCACUAAAUUAGUUCAACCAACUAAAUUGGUUUGGCAUAGUUUUGGGUGUGAACAAUGGGAAGGCCCCUCCCUGGGUGUGAGUGCUACCCACCCUAAGGGUGUGUAGCCUCAGUAGAAUAUAAGGGACAUAGAGAGGGCUGCUGCUAUUGUUUGCUGCUUUUGCUGCCUUCUGCCUUUCAUGCUAGGAUUUUUUUCUUCUUUUCUGUGACGCCCCUUGGCCAUGUCACCCUGCCUUGGAGCCAGCCAACUAUGGGCUGAAACCUAUAAACUGUGACCCAAAAUAAAUCUUUUUUCCUUUAACUCUGGGUGUUGGGUGGAACUUUUGUAUCAGCAACAAGAAAAGUAACUAAGACACUAAUACUCUUAAACGCACUGGAAGGGGAGGGAAAGAGUGGGUUCAUGGCUGUCCCCAAAAGGAAGCUGGUAGUGGUUUCCAGUGAAGACUAGAAGAAGAUGAACCAGCAGCUCCACAGAGUUGGAAGUGGCAGGGUGCUUUCGUUGGGAUGUGCUGUGGGUUGAGAUUGAAUGGAGCCCAGAAGGUAAAAGAGCUGGCUCCCAGUAAUCACGUGUGUUGCACACCUCCAUGGGAACAGACUCUAAUGUUUGUAGGAUGCCUAAUAUGGGCCAGAUGCUGCACUAGGUGACUGUCUUGGACACUGUACAUUUUCUCAAAAAUCUCUUACCCUUUUUUUAAUGGUCACUAUUUGUAGCAUUCCUUUAUUCAAAUGAAAAUUAAACUUAUUUUUAGGAGAUCAAUUGAAUUAACUACAUAAUGAAAAAAGGGCCAAACCUUGUCAUCUUAAAGCCACAAGCCAUUAUGUUUUGAUAAACAUAGAAAUGUGACUCAAAAUUGCAUGCUUGGACUCAUUUAUUAAGAUAAAUCCUGGGUGACACACUAAACUGUCCUUUCACUGAAAAUAUUUGUGUUGGCCUCUGGGAAAACAUCCAGACUGUAGAAAGGGGUGAAUUAGAAGGUACAGAGCUUGGGGUCAUUGACUGCAUAAGGGAUCUACCUUUUCCCACCUUCACUGUGGUCGAAUUUAGUGUCAGGACUGAGUAUAGAUCACCCAAAGCAGAACCAGCAUGGUUACUUAUCCCCCAAGCCUGAUAGAACAAGGGAGCCAGUCACCAUCACUUGCCUUUAGCAGAGACCCAAGGGAAAAGCUCCAUCGUUCCAAGAGGAGAUUCAGGUGUCCCCAGAACCAGAGGCUCUUGGUGUGUGGGAGCUGUAAGUGGCUAACCUGAUGCAAGGUAACCUAUGUGAUUGGCUAGAGGAGCAGCUCUGGUUUUCUCUGGUUAGUCCUAUUAAAUUUUUGCAGGGGCAAAAAUUAGGGGAGCUGGCAGAUGUUGAUCAAGUCCUGGCCAUGUGGGGCUCAAUUGCUACAGAGUUGUUUGACUUCCUGCAGGUUGUGGGGCUGAAUCCUAUAUCUACAUGGGCUGGUGACUGUCAGUAUGUGCCAGACCUCAUCAUGAAACCACCAGGUAUUAUAAAAUGAGAUACAAUGCAAAGUAAGUACACAGAGUCACCUGUAAUGUGUCCUUGCCCACCCCACCCCCCAAAUGUUUACUGGGAUCUCAUCAAGAUUCUAAAUAGCUGAAUUAUCAAAACUUUUUAUCUACGAAAACUUCAACAAAAGAAAUGUGAAAAACUUGAAAAAAAAUUAAAAAGUUGAAACAAGCCAUAAACCCCAAAGUCACAUAGAAAACAAUAUGGCGGAUCACACUGUAGUACAACAGUGUUCAGUGUUCAGUGGAGAUUGAACAAAGAGCAAGACAACGAUUAGCAGAAAAACUAAAACAUCCAUCUAUUUUUACAGGUUAAUCCAUCUGAAUGUGCUUUAAUUCAUCUCACUGUAAAUUAUAUUUUGAAUGUAUUAAAAGUGACUUUUAAUCAGAAACAGCCCCACCAGCCUCCGUUCUCCACUACUUUAGCCACAGCAUUAAAGAGAUCAGGCAGAAAAUUCCUCAUUUCAGAGUUGCCUCAUCAUUUCUUCAUUCUAAAAUUCCUAUAAACUGGUACCUUUGAUUAAUCAUUUUAUUUUGAUCUCUCUCUCCCCUCUCUUGGAGAACACUUGGCUCUACCCACUUGAGUUUGGCAUCAUCCCAAGGCCAUUGCUCCUCCCACAGUUACAGAAAGAUCACAGUGAACUCAGAAACACACACUUGUUGAGAGCUCCGGACUCAGUGCUCUUAAUCAUGCCUGUCAAUCUUGUUUAGAGACCCGGGGAGAGACACCUGAGCUGGGCUGCACCUUCUUCAAAAUCUGAAAGCUUCGUUCCUCUGUGUGCUUUUGCUUUCCCUGGCAUCCCAGCUCCAUUUCUCUGUUCAUGCCGCAUUUUUGUUUUCCUGAUGGCACGGGUCUGCCCAGGGCACAUUUUCUUGUUUUCUCAGUAAAUGCAGCUGCUUUGUCCUUAACACUGGAUGAUGUAUGCUUGCACUUCUUUGCUUGCCAUAUAAAAGAGCCUGGAGGCUAUCUGUUGGGUCUAUCCCACAGUAUUGGUUUGUCCCGGUUAUCCAUAGAAGGCAUGUCUCACACAACCACAGCCCUCUUUAUGAUUCGAGUUUUCCAGAAUGUGGCCAGGAGGGCUAUGUAUCUGGCAGCAGGGGAGUCUGAAAACGCACACCUGCGUUUGUAGCUUGGGGAAGCAGAGACCAGCUAUGUGGAAAAUUUCCUAAGUGGAGGAAGGUGUCCAAAAAGAUGCUGGGCAGCUUCAGAUGACAGACAUGCAACAGGAACUGAACAUCCCCAAGUAAGAGAGAGACAGUGGGGCAUUCAGAGCGUGCAAUUCCAGGCAGCCAGUUUUGAAACAGUUCAGUGGUGUGAAAAAAUCUCAAAACCUGUUACGUGAAGAUAUACAGAGCCAUAUAUCUAGGAUGGUCUCAAUGUUUCAAAGGUUGCGUAGGGGAAAAGACCAGCACAUUGGGCUCAUACAGGCCCCUCCAAGAAACAGAUGCCGACCUAGGAUGUUUCUUAGGGAAGCCAGCAGGGUAGGUGGAGCCCUGAGCAGGGAGCAAGGGAAGAAGGUCCAAGUCGGGGAGAGUCUCCUACAGGACAACUAUGAGAAAGCCUCGCCCACGCACAAAAACACAUUCCUUCCAAAACAGCCCGGGUGGCCCAGGACAAGGGUGGCCUUGGGGCUCACAGGGCGGUGGCUGGACACCAGCGGUGUGCAGGGAGUCCUGUGCCCACAGUGAGUUCUCUCAAGGAAGACCCUAGUAGCACAUCUUCGUGGCUACUGUAACACAGUGACAGAAGGGAGGGCGGAGACAUCAGAGACUGAGCUGUGCUUCUUUGUGCACCAGAAGCUUUUUUCUUCUUUUCUUUUUUUUUGAGACAAGGUCUCACUAUGUUGUUCAGUCUGGCCUCAGACUUGCGGCAAUCCUCCUGCCUCAGCAUCCCUAGUACUGGGAUUUCAGGUAUGCAUCAGCAUAGCAGUGCUUGUUAAGACUGCCCAAGUAACCCAUUUGUGGCUCGCUCUUGUAAGUCAUUUCUAACGACACAUAUUGUGUGAUGACCGUCACUUUCAAAUGUGCAGACUGGACAUCCUACAGUGAUCACCUACACAGCCAGACUUCAGGUCCUGAGCUGAGCCCCACCACGGAGGCCUGGGAGGGAAGCCCAGCCCGACUGGUUCCGUUACAUCUUUGCCUUCCUUACUAACUCUCCACCUUCAUAUUCUCUUCCCCUACAUACCACUUUUAAAGUCCAUUUCACAGACUGGUUUUGCAGAAAGCUUGCCUUAAAAGAGUGGAGACAUAUGGCAGAAAACUACUACUGUGGCUCUCUUCCUUUCCCAACUCAGUUUUGUGAUCUGUUUUAGAAGUGUGAGGCUCAAAGACAUCUAAAAACCUCACUCAUUUGUGCAGAUCCUUCCUUGUUCUGGUUCCAAUUUGAAUUGACUCAGGUUUUGCUCUCCAGAGGCUGCCCUGGCUAGAGAGGCCCUCCUCUGUCAAGCAUAUCCCACAAUGGCUGAGCCCACAGGAAACUCAGGGACCUUCUGGAAUAAGUCAGACCCUGAAGUAUCAAAGCUUACAAGAAAGAAAACUGGAGAUCAUCCAGCCUCAGCUUUCCAAAUUGAGAGGAAAGCGACAGAGAUGAAGUGACCUGAGUCACUGAGGAGCUUCUGCUUGGAGGCAUCAUCUGCUGCUGUCUGACACCAGGGUAGCUGCAGGUCAGUGGCAUGGCCUGGGAGGAGGCUAGGAAGCUGCCGCCUCAGCCCUGGGCAACACAUCUACAUCUAUUCGAAGUCAGAGAGAAACAGGAAACUUGGUGAGGCAUGUCUGUAGGUAUGGAGUUGGAUUUGUGACAGGUUCAACAGCACAGCCACAGUGACUAAAGGAGGAGGAGAGCUAUGGCGUCCCGAAAAAGCAGUGAUUAAAAAUAACCGACAGUUAUAUGGCCUUACCACAUACCGGGAAGCUUCCUAAGAAUUUUAUAGAUAUUAACUUCAUGGCAAUCUUGUUCAGUAGGUAUUAUCAUCCCCCUUUACAGAUGGGGAAACUGAGGCACAGAGAAGUUGGACAAACUUGCCUGAGGUCAUAGAGCUAACAGAGGCAGGGCUGGGUUCUGUUCUUUCCUGCUCUUCUGGAAUGUUUACCAGGGUGGCUAAGAAAGUGGCCAUUCCCAACCAGCUGGACUGAGCCUCAGGGAAGACCAGCCUCUGGAUGACCCAGCAGUAUGCUUGCGGAGUCUUCAGACAACACAGAGGAAUACAAAGAUCCUAAAAGGGAGAAAGGACCUUUCUGUGCCACUUUCUCUGGAGUGCUCGUCCACCAAAAGAACAAAUGUCCAAAAUCCGAGGCUGCCCCUCAACUCUGCAGGUGGGGAGGGAGGGAGGGACAAUUGGAUACCAAUGCAGAAGGCUCCAGGUUUCCAGGAAGUACAAGUUUCAGAGUUCCUGCAGGUACAGAGAAAGUGAGCAGUAGCCUGCAGCCCCUCUUCUUACAGUCAUAAGAAUAAAAUUUUCACUCUCUUAUGUGAUCCAUUGUGCCUUGGGGUAAGGGCAUUUUUGACUUAUUUGGGUUACAGGGAGCAGGUAAGUAUUUACUGCGGCUAAGACUGCGGUAAACAGGCGGGCGGGAGGGCUGGUAUUUCAGACCCCCAUCCCAUGCCAUGUUAAGGAGAUCGUAGUUUUUGACUGUGCUUCUGUCUUGCCACCAGUUUAGACUGGGAGGGAGGUUCACUUGAGAUUUGUGCAGACCCAGAAGAGAUGCAGAGCUGUGGACCAGGUUAAAUAUAUAUAUUUUUUUAUUUUGUUGUGUAGCCAUAGUUUAUCUGUUUGGCCCCUAGCCACUGUACACUCACAGCAGCCCUUGGCUGCUCAGUAUUCCCUUUUUGUAGCUCUCCUCCAGCCCCUAGUCCAGCCUUGUGGCUCCCAGACACUCUUAGCUGCUGCUGUACAUUUUUUGUUAGUUUUUAGUAGCUUAGUUUCCCCAGCCCUGAUGGCAGUCCAUAUUUAUAUCAAAAUACACAACAGUGGCCAUGUGUCAAUAAUGACUUUGGUCUUAUAAGUUAGUUACGCUGGCCAGCAUCAACCUUGGUUGUAUCAGUUAUUUCUACUGAGACUAAUGAGGCGCACAUGUGCCAGAGUCUUGUUGAUUUGGACUUAAUGUCCACUGGAAAUCACCCUCUGCCCCUAAUAAAAAGACCUCAUUUAAUCCCAAAUUUCCCCAUAUUCUACUUGAACAGAUUGCUCUACACCUAUGGGCUUCAACACUGAGGCACAUUGACUUGCCUGAUAUAAAGUAAACCUUAUAUAUCAAAUGUGAACAGUAGUACCUAUUAAUUUAAACUUCAGCUUGCUCUCCUUUUAAGAGUGUGUGUAUUGGCCACUAGAAAUUCUGAAAGGCCAUUCCUCAAUGUCUUGUGCACACCCUCCCAACUACUGAAAAUGCAAUUUGAGACACCAUUCUGCUAAAACUGGUUUUAUGAUGACAACCCUGACCAUAGGAAGCCAGGACCUUAUGUGUAAUCCACACAGUAAGAAAUUUGCAUGGCAUAUACUGGCAAGUAUUGGUGUCUGGUAUCUUCAGAGCCUUACACUGUCGAAGUGAACAUUACGUCUGUUGUAACUUUUACAAGCAUUUCAUUUUUUGUUAUUAGUGGCAUUCUUUUUUUUUUUGGUACUGGGGAUUGAACUCAGGACCUUGCGCUUUCGAGGCAGGCGGCAGAACCACUGAGCUAAAUCCCUGGCCCGAGCGGCAUUCUUUGAAGUGUCACAUCUUGUGACUCUUAAAAUACCAGUGUAA